CAGCGAUGACAUAAAACUGCUUGUCACCGGAGAGAAAUCCUCUAAUAGUGAACCGAAUUUGCGAACGGGAUCGGCCAUUGUGCUGAGGAAGACCGCGUUGUGAAACACCCAUCGAGGAAAGUGUACCAGAAGCUGGAGUCAGCCGGCCAAACGGCGUUGAAGUGUUGCGAAUAGACCCGCGAAGGCGAAGGGCCAAUCGGUGUUCAAAGAGUGAGAUUCGUGGAAGACCCAGUCACCCGUCCGGGCCGCUUCUGAGUGUGCUGGUCGUUCGGGCCGAGUUUGGUGUACAGGAAGCCACCUACGCCUGAAGAAUUCAACCAAGUCCGGGUCAUCACAGCUUGCCCAAAAUGGUCGUCGGAAACGUCCUCCAAAAGGAACGGAUUUGGAGCCCGACCAAGCCGCAUCGAGCGUCGAUCGAAGCAACGCCCCGACGAUGAUCCAGUAACAGGUGUGUCCUUAUCCUUCUUUCCUAAAAUUUCGAUUUUGUACCGUGAAAUGGAAUUAUAACGUAAUUGAAAUGUAA